ensembl:lncRNA
AACCAACUGACACUGCACUGUAAGAAUACACUAUCGCUUGGGCUUUGUGUGUUAGUCAACGUAGUGCUGAAUUAAUGUUUACUAAUAUUUUACUUAAGAUUCUCACAUCUACUUAUAUAAGCAAAAUUUCUUUAUAGAAUUCAGUGUGUGCUAUUUUUUGCAGUUAAUUUUUGAGCAAUUACAAUACACCAAGAAAUGAAUUAAAUAAUACUGAAUGUAUCAUAUUAUUAAUAUCUAAUCCUCACUCCUCACAUUUCCUCCCAUUUUAUAGAUUUAACUAAAGGCCACAUUACAAGCAUCACUUGGAAUCUGUGGGAGAUUGUUCUGGAGCCUCAAGAACAUGAAAAUCAACAGACGCUCCAUGGCCUCUGAAUCCACGGUUCUGCAGCCUCAGACUCAGCCAACUGCAGACGGUGUCGUCCUGUACGCACACACUGAAAAACCUGAGUGUAAGGUGACCUGCGCAGCUCAGACCUGUACUGCUCAAGGCUUAACUGUACUCGUCCAAGGAUAUAGCGGGCUGGGUUCCACGUGGCAGCACGGCUCCAGCACUCUGUGGACCCACACUCACUGGGACAGAAGAGAAUGGCAGGGGAUGUUCACCGGCUUUCAUGUCCCCGGCCAGAAAUUCACACGGAUCUUCUGCUCCUGUUUCCAUAACCAGAGCAACUCAGUCCUGUGCGGGAAUCAGGGAACGUGGCCACUUGCCUCCCAGUUCACCGCUCUGCAGCCAGUACCCGUCACUGUGCUCGAUACAGAUGAGGUACUCAGCUCAAAGAUGCUGAUGACGGACAAGGUCUCUCCUUCCAGAAGCCUGUGGUCCACAGAGAGACCUGGGAGGUGUGUGAGUGAGUGGAAGAGGUUUCCUAACAAAGGCAACCUGAUGUGCGGCAUGGAGGUCCACCUGGGGGUGUCACAGGGAGCAAGACAGAGUGUCACUCACUGAGCUGAGCAUAAGAAGAGCAGAAAUGCUCCAUGGGGGGGUCAGAGGUAAAGCAGGGCCUUCUGCUGUUCAGUCGCUAAGCCGUGCCCAACUCUUCAUUACCCACUGGACUGCAGCUCGCCAGGCUCCUUUGUCCUCCACUAUCUCCCCAAAUUUGCUCAGAUUUCUGUCCAUUGAGUCAGUGAUGCUAUCUAACUGUCCUCUGUCGCCCCCUUCUUCUCCUGCCCUCAAUCUUUCCCAGCAUCAGGGUCUUUUCCAGUGAGUUGGUUCUUCUCAUCAGGUGGCCAAAGUACUGGAGUUUCAGCUUUAACAUCAGUCCUUCCAAUGAACACCCAGGACUGAUCUCCUUUAGGAUGGACUGGUUGGAUCUCCUUGCAGUCCAAGGGACUCUCAAGAGUCUUCUCCAGCACCACAGUUCAAAAGCACCAAUUCUUCAGCGCUCAGCCUUCUUCCCGGUCCACCUCCCACAUCCACACGUGACACUUGGAAUACAGGACCACUUGAAAAAGCAGGUCCUAGAGAGAGGGUGAGCGGUGUGCAGACAGGAGGGGGCUUGGGGCCCUAGUCCUCCAAGUUCAGAGCUGGCGUUACCCCCGAAACACCUCAAAGGAAGUGAGUGGCAUUCUCCGGUUUCAGGGGGAAGGUCUCGCCGGCAGCUGUCUGGUGGAUAGGGGAGGUGGUGGAAGGGAAGAGGUGUGUGAAUCAGCUGGAGCAACACUCCAAGCACAGCAGGUGAGGGAAGGAUUUAGGAAGGAGGAAGCACAGGCCUUAGCCACUGCGGUUCUGGCCAGCGUCGUGAUGGAGCCAUCUCCCGAGGCAGAGAGCCUGAGUCUGGAGAGGGCCCCCCACCGAUGAUGCCCUGAACCCACAGCCGCCCUGACUUCCUGUGACUGUCCAUGCUGGUGUCAGGAGCUGGUCAUCUGGCUUCUAAACUUACAGCACAAACAUUUCUACUCAGUGGGCUCAGCAUUUUCUAACGGUGGAUAAAGACACUCUCCAUCUG